AUACGGAGGGUGCAAGCGUUAAUCGGAAUUACUGGGCGUAAAGCGUACGUAGGCGGUUUAUUAAGUCAGAUGUGAAAGCCCCGGGCUUAACCUGGGAACUGCAUUUGAAACUAGUAGACUAGAGUAUGGUAGAGGGGGGUAGAAUUCCUAGUGUAGCGGUGAAAUGCGUAGAUAUUAGGAGGAAUACCAGUGGCGAAGGCGGCCACCUGGACCAAUACUGACGCUGAGGUACGAAAGCGUGGGGAGCGAACGGGAUUAGAAACCCCAGUAGUCC
rnacentral:rRNA from 1 species